AUACCUUUCUCGGCCUUUUGGCUAAGAUCAAGUGUAGUAUCUGUUCUUAUCAGUUUAAUAUCUGAUAUGUGAGUCAAUGACUCACACGAUAUUAAAUUUAUUUUUUAAGGGGGAGGACUCGCUACAAUAGCUUGCUAUUGGAGUUCUCAGGCGUUGCCCAUGCGUUGCACUAUUGCACGGGCCAGGCGCACCCCUC